rnacentral:tRNA from 1 species
GUUAGCUCAGCUGGUAGAGCAUCUGACUCUUAAUCAGGCGGUCGUUGGUUCGAUCCCAAC